GUUUUUGUCCACCACUUCUUCCUCUACUUGCAACACCAUAUAUGUGGUUGCUUUGGUGUGAGGAUCCUCUUUGAUUCGACAAAUUUCCUUCUUGUUGGUUUUCUCUACUAGUCGAAUUGUUGUAGCCUUCUCUACCUUUGUUGUCAAACCAUUUUCCUAUGCCUUUCUUUUCUCUUGCUAAUUGCUCCUACAAAGCCAUGUCACUCUUUGACUUACUUGCAGUUCUUUAAGCCAUUCUUUG
rnacentral:lncRNA from 1 species